GACGAACGCUGGCGGCGUGCUUAACACAUGCAAGUCGAACGAAGUGGCGAACGGGUGAGUAACGCGUAAUCAACCUGCCCUUCAGAGGGGGACAACAGUUGGAAACGACUGCUAAUACCGCAUACUGAAGGAGGGGCUUGCGUCCGAUUAGCUAGGUGGAGGGGUAACGGCCCACCAAGGCGAAGAUGAGUAGCCGGUCUGAGAGGAGGAACGGGCACAUUUGGACUGGGACACGGCCCAGACUCCUACGGGUGGCAGCAGUGGGGAAUCUUCCGCAAUGGAGGAAAGUCUGGCGGAGCAACGCCGCGUGGGUGAUGACGGCCUUCGGGUUGUAAAGCUCUGUUAAUCGGGACGCGGUACCUGAAUAGAAAGCCACGGCUAACUACGUGCCAGCAGCCGCGGUAAUAC
rnacentral:rRNA from 1 species